rnacentral:rRNA from 1 species
UACGGAGGGGGCAAGCGUUGUUCGGAAUUAUUGGGCGUAAAGCGUAUGUAGGCGGCUAAGUAAGUCAGGCGUGCAAGCCCGUGGCUCAACCACGGAAUUGCGUUUGAAACUACUUAGCUUGAGUGCAGGAGAGGAAAGCGGAAUUCCCAGUGUAGCGGUGAAAUGCAUUGAUAUUGGGAAGAACAUCUGUGGCGAAGGCGGCUUUCUGGUCUGUUACUGACGCUGAGAUACGAAAGCCAGGGUAGCGAACGGG